UGGUGGGGUAACGGCCCACCAAGCCUAAGAUCCGUACGGGCCAUGGGAGUGGGAGCCCGGAGAUGGACCCUGAGACAAGGGUCCAGGCCCUACGGGGCGCAGCAGGCGCGAAACCUCCGCAAUGCGGGAAACCGCGACGGGGUCAGCCGGAGUGCCGAUGCUUGCAUCGGCUGUCGGGGAGCCUAAAAAGCUCUCCAAGCAAGGGCCGGGCAAGGCCGGUGGCAGCCGCCGCGGUAAUACCGGCGGCCCGAGUGGCGGUCACUAUUAUUGGGCUUAAAGCGUCCGUAGCCGGGUUGGUUAGUCUCCCGGGAAAUCUGGCCGCUCAACGGUCAGAAUUCCGGGAGAUACUGCCAGCCUAGGGACCGGGAGAGGCCGAGGGUAUUCCCGGAGUAGGGGUGAAAUCCUAUAAUCCCGGGAGGACCACCUGUGGCGAAGGCGCUCGGCUGGAACGGGUCCGACGGUGAGGGACGAAGGCCAGGGGAGCAAACCGGAUUAGAU
rnacentral:rRNA from 1 species